GGAGGAUUCUGUAGCUGUGAACUUAUGAAACUUUAGCUGAGAAGUCUGUCCUUGGUACUGAUGUGAUCCUUCUUCAAGACGACUAGGAUUCCUUAGGAAGGCUUCUUUCAAAUCUCUUCCCUUUGUGUGUGUUGUCUCUCCAAAAAAAGGCUCUCUCCUUUAUGCUUUCUGCUAGUUUCUAUUUAUAUUAGGCAUCCUAGGGUUAAGCUUUAGAGUCCCAAAGGCAUUAGAAGUCUAAUUGGUGGGCCAAAAUAAAAGUUGGAGUCGGAUUUAAAAAG
rnacentral:misc_RNA from 1 species